CCUACGGGUGACAGCAGUGAGGAAUAUUGGUCAAUGGACGGAAGUCUGAACCAGCCAUGCCGCGUGCAGGAAGACGGCUCUAUGAGUUGUAAACUGCUUUUGUACAAGGGUAAACCUGAAUACGUGUAUUCAGCUGAAAGUACUGUACGAAUACGGAUAGGCGAACCCCGUGCCAGCAGCCGCGGGAAUACGGAGGAUCCAAGCGUUAUCCGGAUUUAUUGGGUUUAACGGGUGCGUAGGCGGGUUGAUAAGUUAGAGGUGAAAUGUCCGGGCUUAACUCGGGAACGGCCUCUAAUACUGUUGAUCUAGAGAGUAGAUGCGGUAGGCGGAAUGUAUGGUGUAGCGGUGAAAUGCGUAGAGAU
rnacentral:rRNA from 1 species